rnacentral:rRNA from 1 species
CCUACGGGGGGCUGCAGUAAGGAAUAUUGGUCAAUGGACGAAAGUCUGAACCAGCCAUCCCGCGUGCAGGAUGAAAGCCCUAUGGGUUGUAAACUGCUUUUAGCAGAGAAGAAAAGCUUUCAUUAAUGAGAGUCUGACGGUAUCUGCAGAAUAAGCACCGGCUAACUCCGUGCCAGCAGCCGCGGUAAUACGGAGGGUGCGAGCGUUAUCCGGUAAUACUGGGUUUAAAGGGUGCGUUGACGGAGUGGUAAAAUGUUUUCGCUUAACGGUAAAAUUGCCAAGGAUACUGGUACUCUUGAAUUGGGUUGAGGUUAGCGGAAUGUGACAUGUAGCGGUGAAAUGCAUAGAUAUGUCAUGGAACACCAAUUGCGAAGGCAGCUAACUGGGCCUUGAUUGACGCUGAGGCACGAAAGCGUGGGUAGCGAACAGGAUUAGAUACCCGAGUAGUC